AUGAACGCUAGCUACAGGCUUAACACAUGCAAGUCGAGGGGCAUCAGGAAGAAAGCUUGCUUUCUUUGCUGGCGACCGGCGCACGGGUGAGUAACACGUAUCCAACCUGCCCUUUACUCGGGGAUAGCCUUUCGAAAGAAAGAUUAAUACCCGAUAGCAUAAUGAUUCCGCAUGGUUUCAUUAUUAAAGGAUUCCGGUAAAGGAUGGGGAUGCGUUCCAUUAGGUUGUUGGUGAGGUAACGGCUCACCAAGCCUUCGAUGGAUAGGGGUUCUGAGAGGAAGGUCCCCCACAUUGGAACUGAGACACGGUCCAAACUCCUACGGGAGGCAGCAGUGAGGAAUAUUGGUCAAUGGGCGCUAGCCUGAACCAGCCAAGUAGCGUGAAGGAUGAAGGCUCUAUGGGUCGUAAACUUCUUUUAUAUAAGAAUAAAGUGCAGUAUGUAUACUGUUUUGUAUGUAUUAUAUGAAUAAGGAUCGGCUAACUCCGUGCCAGCAGCCGCGGUAAUACGGAGGAUCCGAGCGUUAUCCGGAUUUAUUGGGUUUAAAGGGAGCGUAGGUGGACUGGUAAGUCAGUUGUGAAAGUUUGCGGCUCAACCGUAAAAUUGCAGUUGAUACUGUCAGUCUUGAGUACAGUAGAGGUGGGCGGAAUUCGUGGUGUAGCGGUGAAAUGCUUAGAUAUCACGAAGAACUCCGAUUGCGAAGGCAGCUCACUGGACUGCAACUGACACUGAUGCUCGAAAGUGUGGGUAUCAAACAGGAUUAGAUACCCUGGUAGUCCACACAGUAAACGAUGAAUACUCGCUGUUUGCGAUAUACAGUAAGCGGCCAAGCGAAAGCAUUAAGUAUUCCACCUGGGGAGUACGCCGGCAACGGUGAAACUCAAAGGAAUUGACGGGGGCCCGCACAAGCGGAGGAACAUGUGGUUUAAUUCGAUGAUACGCGAGGAACCUUACCCGGGCUUAAAUUGCAGUGGAAUGAUGUGGAAACAUGUCAGUGAGCAAUCACCGCUGUGAAGGUGCUGCAUGGUUGUCGUCAGCUCGUGCCGUGAGGUGUCGGCUUAAGUGCCAUAACGAGCGCAACCCUUAUCUUCAGUUACUAACAGGUCAUGCUGAGGACUCUGGAGAGACUGCCGUCGUAAGAUGUGAGGAAGGUGGGGAUGACGUCAAAUCAGCACGGCCCUUACGUCCGGGGCUACACACGUGUUACAAUGGGGGGUACAGAAGGCAGCUAGCGGGUGUCCGUAUGCUAAUCCCAAAAUCCUCUCUCAGUUCGGAUCGAAGUCUGCAACCCGACUUCGUGAAGCUGGAUUCGCUAGUAAUCGCGCAUCAGCCACGGCGCGGUGAAUACGUUCCCGGGCCUUGUACACACCGCCCGUCAAGCCAUGGGAGCCGGGGGUACCUGAAGUACGUAACCGCAAGGAUCGUCCUAGGGUAAAACUGGUGACUGGGGCU
rnacentral:rRNA from 1 species